GUUACGUAAUAUGUGAAAACAAAAACUCAUGUGUUCGUAAUAUGUGUGCAUUCGAGAGACACUGAGAAGGUUUUGAUUAGAGUCAUAUUUUGGAUCCAGCAAGAUUCUCAGUGAGAAAAGAGUUUGCUUUUGAGAGUGAAGACUAUGAGGAUGUUGAGACCAAUGGAAAUAAAAUGUUCAGACCAACGGAAAUGAGAGACUUGAAUAAACAUAGAUCAGAAAGUGGUGGAGACAAGGAAAAUUGCCAGCGAUGUCGUGUGUCUUCCCUGUCCUACGAUGACAUUGCUGAGGAGGAGAGCAUCCCAGCUCAACCCUUAACCAGUGGAAGAUAUGGAACCAGUAGCCUGAAGCCCAGGAGCAGGAGCAGGAGCUGCUGCUAACCACAGACAUGUUACCUACGAGGUGGAGGAAGAUCCACAGGAGAGCUACGAGGAUGUGAUGUCGAUGACCACGCCAGCUGAGGAGACCAGAGAGGUUGCAUAAGUCAUUGAGAGACCCAAACCCAAGGAGCUGGAUAUCCAUGAUGACGAGGAGGGUGACCUGGAGCCUAAUGGAUAGGGGAUCCCAAAGUUGGCGUCAAAAAUCAGGGUAUCUGCAUAAGAACCUCACGUUCCCUCUUCAUCGGUCCACUUAUAAUAUUGCUGUUUCUUUUUCAUAUAUGAAGACACAAUUAUUAGAAUUACUUGACUCUUUUGUCUCUAACAUUUGAUAUUGUUUCAAAUGUUUUGAUUAAUUUGACAUGUUUUGAUUAGUUUGUUGUGCCAUGGCCUGUAAAGCAGAACUGACUGACACAGAACAGAAUCAAUGGUGUCUAUCUUACAACAACACAUGUAUUAAUGAAACAUGAUCUUGCUAUGUGGUAGUUCCUUCCAUAAAGAACAGCAUGUGAAAAGUCUUAAUUGCUUUUUAUGCGUCAAAGCUCAUAGCCAACAGCUGUUUUUCAAUUACUUUUAUCGUAAUUUUUUUUUACUACUUUUACCAUUUUUAAAUGCAAAAUUUGAAACAUUUUUAUUUGUAAUUGCAAUAACAUUGUGCAAUGAAAUAGUGUUGUUUUAUUCUCCUCUUCAACUUCUCAGUAUUUAUGUGUAUAUGAAAGUUCUUAUUCAGAUUUUACACAAUAAUAAUUUUAAUGUUAGAUUUUUUACCUUUUGAAUUGAUUAGAUUUUAAUGUUUAUAAAAUAUGAAAGUAGUAGUUCACAGGGUUUAUCUCAUAGCUAUGUAUUUUAUUUGUUUAAAUAUGUUUGUUUAGUGUUGUUUUCUCUAUGAAAUCAUAUUUGAGAUUUGGUGUUUGGAAUUUUAAGAAUAUUGUCAAUAGUGGGGAAAACAAUCAGUGUAAAUUAGAAAACUAACUUAAAUGUGAAAAAUGAAACAAAAUUGAGAUGAUGAUGAGAGGUAUAAAAUUAAUUACAAUUAAGAAUACUUCCAAUGAUUAUUUGAUGUACAGUGUCAGAUUUUCUUUAUUAUGUAAUUCGCAAUUGAAGAAAAUGAAAAUGAAAAUAUACUGCUUUAAUAACGUACUGUGCUAUCAGUAAUGUUUUUUGUAAGGAGACUAAAUUAUUGGUUUUAUUAAUGCUGUCGUGUUCAUAUAACAUUUUACAUUGUGAAAUGAUUCAAAUGAUGGUAAUAUUUUUUUAAAUACUGAUCUGCAUAUUUUGAAGGUUUACAAAGCCUAACAAUAUUACAUUUUAGACAAGUAAAAACAUUGAAGGUUACACUGUCUAUGCACAUACAGUAUGCAGUGCAGUGCAAUCAAAAUGUGAUUUUCCUGUGUUAUAUAUUUAUUUUCACACUAUGAGUUUGGAGCAAUACUGUGAAAUUGUGAAAAUUAUGAUAAUGCCCUUUUAGUGUAAGCGCUGCCUGAAAUUUCUGCCUGUUUUGGUGGGAUGGAGUUAUGGCCAGCAUGGUGACAUCAUUACACAACGGGUGGGUCUAAUCCUGGAUGCUGAUUGGUUAAAACCGCAUUCCAGUCGGUGUCUAUUCCACAAGUUACCUCCGGCUAAAUCUAUGAUGUUAAAAUGCCUAUUUACUCUGUUCCAUCUGACUGUGCAAUCCAUUGUCUCAUCAGCUCAGCCAAGCAAUUUAUAAACUUGAUCUACACUAUGAAAA